rnacentral:rRNA from 1 species
UCACGCGCGAAACCUUUACACUGCACGACAGUGCGAUAGGGGGAUCCCAAGUGCGCAGGCAUAGAGCCUGUGCUUUUCUGCACCGUAAGGUGGUUCAGGAAUAAGGGCUGGGCAAGACCGGUGCCAGCCGCCGCGGUAAUACCGGCAGCCCAAGUGAUGGCCGAUAUUAUUGGGCCUAAAGCGUCCGUAGCCGGCCGCGCAAGUCCAUCGGGAAAUCCACCCGCUCAACGGGCGGGCGUCCGGCGGAAACCGUGCGGCUUGGGACCGGAAGACCCGAGGGGUACGUCCGGGGUAGGAGUGAAAUCCCGUAAUCCUGGACGGACCGCCGAUGGCGAAAGCACCUCGGGAAGACGGAUCCGACAGUGAGGGACGAAAGCCAGGGUCUCGAACCGGAUUAGAUACCCGGGUAGUCCUGGCCGUAAACAAUGUCCGCUAGGUGUGGCUCACACUACGAGUGGGCGCUGUGCCAAUAGGAAGCCGCUAAGCAGAUCCGC